rnacentral:rRNA from 1 species
GAUUACCUCAGUAACGGCGAGUGAAGCGGUAACAGCUCAAAUUUGAAAUCUGGGCCUUUCAGGCUCCGAGUUGUAAUUUGUAGAAGAUGCUUUGGGUGCGGCCCCGGUCUAAGUUCCUUGGAACAGGACGUCAUAGAGGGUGAGAAUCCCGUAUGUGAUCGGUGGCUUGCGCCCGUGUAAAGCUCUUUCGACGAGUCGGGUUGUUUGGGAAUGCAGCUCUAAAUGGGUGGUAAAUUUCAUCUAAAGCUAAAUAUUGGCCAGAGACCGAUAGCGCACAAGUAGAGUGAUCGAAAGAUGAAAAGCACUUUGGAAAGAGAGUUAAACAGUACGUGAAAUUGUUGAAAGGGAAGCGCUUGCAACCAGACUUGCGCGGGGUUGAUCAUCCGGGGUUCUCCCCGGUGCACUCGGCCCCGCUCAGGCCAGCAUCGGUUUUGGUGGUUGGAUAAAGGCCUUGGGAAUGUGACUUCUUUCGGGGAGUGUUAUAGCCCUCGGUGCAAUGCAGCCUACCGGGACCGAGGACCGCGCUUCGGCUAGGAUGCUGGCGUAAUGGUUGUAAGCGACCCGUCUUGAAACACGGACCAAGGAGUCUAACAUCUAUGCGAGUGUUUGGGUGUCAAACCCAUGCGCGUAAUGAAAGUGAACGGAGGUGAGAACCCUUAAGGGCGCAUCAUCGACCGAUCCUGAUGUCUUCGGAUGGAUUUGAGUAAGAGCAUAGCUGUUGGGACCCGAAAGAUGGUGAACUAUGCCUGAAUAGGGUGAAGCCAGAGGAAACUCUGGUGGAGGCUCGCAGCGGUUCUGACGUGCAAAUCGAUCGUCAAAUUUGGGCAUAG